CUUCCACUAGUAUGGAUAAAGCAUCCUUGUGGCAUUGUCGUCUUGGACAUGUCAACAAGAAACGCAUAGCCCAACUCCAAAAGGAUGGAGUGUUGGAGUCAUUCGACCUUAGGGAAGAUGACACAUGCGAGUCUUGUUUGCUUGGAAAGAUGACUAAGUCACCCUUCACGAGUACAUGUGAAAGGGGCGAGGGUCUAUUGGACCUAAUACAUACCGAUGUAUGUGGACCGUUUAGAUCAACCACGAAGGAUGGGAACCGCUUCUAUGUGACUUUUACCGAUGACUAUAGUAGAUAUGGGUAUAUCUACUUAAUCAAGCAAAAGUCAGACACCUUUGAAAAGUUCAAAGAGUUCAAGAAUGAAGUGGAGAAUCAAUUGGGCAGGAAAAUCAAGAUGCUUCGAUCCGAUCGAGGAGGAGAGUACCUAAGUCUUGAAUUCCACGAUUAUCUCAAGGAGUGUGGAAUAGUUUCACAAUUGACGCCUCCUAGGACACCGCAGUUGAAUGGUGUGGCAGAAAGGCGUAAUCGAACCUUAUUGGAUAUGGUUCGCUCUAUGAUGAGUCGUGCUUCACUACCAAUCUCUUUUUGGGGGUAUGCCUUAGAGACUGCCGCCCAUAUCCUUAACCGAGUCCCUACUAAGAAGGUUGCCAAAACACCUCACGAGAUGUGGACAGGGAAAGCUCCCUCGUUGGCACAUAUCAAGGUUUGGGGUUGCGAGGCUUUCGUAAGACGAGAUACUCACGACAAGCUUGAACCUCGAAGUGAGCGAUGUAUUUUCAUCGGCUACCCGCAGACAUCCUUUGGAUAUCUCUUCUAUAGACCGAAGGACAAUGUUGUCUUCGUUGCGAGGAGAGGAGUUUUCCGAGAGCGAGAACUCAUAAGCCAAGGAGACAGUGGGAGGCAAAUCGAACUUGAAGAGAUUCAAGAGUCGAUAGAUGAAGGAACCUCUACCGCUGGCACUCAACCCGAGGAGGAAACUCCGGUUGAACCGAUUGACGAAUCCUUACCUCUUAGACGUUCCGAUAGAGUUAGAGUUCAUCCCCAGUUUUAUGGCUUUCAUAUUACUACCGAAGGGGACACGUAUAUUAGUGAUGGUACACUAGUAAAUCUUGAUGAACCUAAUAGCUAUAAGGAAGCCAUGGCAGGCCCGGAGUCUGCAAAAUGGAAAGAGGCAAUGGAUAGCGAGAUCCAAUCCAUGUAUGAUAACCAAGUUUGGAAUUUGGUUGAUUAUGUGCCCGGACGUAAGACCGUUGGGUGCAAAUGGAUCUUCAAGAAGAAGACCGACGUGGAUGGAAACGUACACACAUAUAAAGCGCGAUUGGUUGCGAAGGGCUUUACUCAAACUCCCGGAGUUGACUAUGAUGAGACCUUCUCACCAGUUGCGAAGAUUAAAUCUAUUAGAGUGAUGCUAGCUAUUGCCGCAUUUCAUGAUUAUGAGAUUUGGCAAAUGGAUGUCAAGACCGCUUUCCUUAACGGAAAGUUGGCUGAGGAUGUUUACAUGGCUCAGCCAGAGGGGUUUGUGGAUCCGAAGCAUCCGGAUAGAGUGUGUAAGCUUGAGAAGUCCAUUUAUGGACUUAAGCAAGCGUCUCGCAGAUGGAAUCUUUGCUUCGAUGAGAAAGUCAAAGAGUUUGGAUUUGUACGAAGCGAAGACGAAUCUUGUGUAUAUGUCAAAGCCAGUGGGAGUAUAGUAAGCUUCCUCGUUCUAUAUGUCGAUGACAUAUUACUCAUAGGAAACGACAUCCCGACUCUGCAGGAGGUUAAGUCCUGGCUCGGGAAGUGCUUCGCUAUGAAGGACCUCGGAGAGGCUUCUUACAUUUUGGGAAUAAGGAUAGUAAGAGAAAGAAGUAAGAGACUAAUUGGACUUAGUCAGAAUACUUACUUAGAGAAGGUACUAAAACGUUUUAGUAUGGAAAACUCAAAGAAGGGAGAACUACCGAUACAAAGUAAUGCCAAAUUGAGUAAGACUCAAAGUCCGAGUACCGAAGCUGAGAUAGCAGAAAUGAGCCGAGUACCAUACGCUUCCGCAGUUGGCUCAAUCAUGUACGCUAUGACUUGUACUCGCCCUGAUGUAGCCUUCGCUUUGAGCAUGGUUAGCAGAUAUCAAGGGAAUCCUGGCAAAGCACAUUGGAUUGCGGUGAAGAAUAUCCUUAAGUACCUUCGGAGGACAAAGGAAUGGUUCUUAGUCCUCGGAGGGAGUGAUGACUUGAAGGUGCGAGGGUAUAGUGACGCCAGUUUUCAGACCGACAGGGACAACUACCGUUCGCAGUCGGGCUGGGUCUUUACCCUAAAUGGAGGAGCAGUGACAUGGAAGAGUUCCAAGCAGGAAACCGUAGCUGAUUCAACGUGCGAAUCAGAGUACAUUGCAGCGAGCGAAGCGUCGAAGGAGGCAAUAUGGCUAAAGAACUUCAUCGGUGAUCUUGGAGUUGUACCUGCCAUAAAGGAGCCCAUGGAGAUUUUCUGUGAUAACGAAGGAGCGGUUGCCUUGACCAAGGAACCGAGGGAUCAUGGUAGAUCAAGACAUAUCGACAGAAAAUAUCACUUCAUUAGACAUCGUGUAGAAGAAGGACAACUCGUAGUGAAGAGGAUAUCAUCAGAAGAUAACCCAGCAGAUCCGCUUACGAAGGGACUGAGUAGGGUUAAGCACUUGCAGCAUGCUAGGAGUAUUGGGCUGAAGGAUGAUAUUAGCAUAGAUUAGAUAGUAUUAGAAACGUGUAAUAGAUAAAUGUAAUUAACAUUUGAUGAUUAAAUAAAGGAGUUUUAUUUAUGAGUAAUUUUACUAUCUUAUGUUAAUUGUUUAACUAUUGUUUCUCUUUGCAUGUUUUGACUUCCAGAAUAAUUGAGUUUAUUAGGAAUAAUCGAAUUGUUCAAAUUGUCCACAAUCGUUCAUAUGUUGGAAGUAGAUAUGAAUGAAGAUUGUCAUGAAUUGGUGUGUAGAUUGUCUAAAUGGUGUUAGACAUAGCAAAGGGUUGCUGCAACGUUCAUGAGUGCUUAUGAACUAGUUUUGAGCAUUGGAACAAACCCGCGCUUGCUGGAAUCACCUUAUGGAAUAUGAUAUAAAAGGAUGAUCGCAAGACGAUAAUAUCAUAUAGUCUUAAAACCUAGAUAUAUGGUUUGUCAUUUGUUAAUUGAUUGCACAUUGAUAAUGCGAAAACGCAUCAGUAACUCUAUGUUAUAAAACGCAUUGUUGUGUAUAGUUGGUUAAUGAAUAAGUAAAUGCAUAUAAGUCGAAGUUUAUCUGUAACUUUUAUCUAAGAAGGUAAAAGCGAUAUCUCGGCCGCUCGAUGAUUUGAUUUGACUUAUGUGCCGGGCCCGGUCAGAACUGAAUUGAUGUGUUCGAUUAAGUUCUAUGUCAAAUAAAUCAGAGAUCGAGAAACCUAAAUGCUUGACUAACCAUUCCAUAGGAUUGUCAGCAUGAUAUCUAACAGAGGACUGUAUGACCCCUUAUCUAAAGGACAAGAUUGCUUAGAUCAGAGUUUGACAGCAUCUUUGAGACCUACGAUUGCAAACCGAAUUGUACUUAUGCAUAUAGUUACUAGACUUAUCCAAGAAGGAGACUGUUGGAAUAGUCUCUAAGGCUGCAACUAUAUUAGGCAAGUAUUUGACCCGAUUGUGCAUGGUCCUUUUGGGUUGCCUUCACCAUAGCAACUUGAUAGGAUGAUUUAUUAAGAGAGAAUAAAUAUUAUUAAUAUAUUAUGAGAAUAAUAUAAAGAAUAAUAUAUUGAUUUGAUUAAUAUAAGUCAUAGAAGUAAUUAGAAUUAAUUUGGUGACUUAAAUAGAUUAAUUAAAUAAACAGGUAUAAACUGUCAAUUAUUUGAUAGUUAAGCUUUAGACUAUAAAUCCUUAUAGAUAUACAAGGGACGGAUUCUAGAAGCUAGGAUAGCUUCAAAAUCGUCCAAGGGAGUAUCUAUGGACAGGAUUUUGAUAGCCUUAACAGAAGAUUAUCCAAUUAGGGUUUAGGUUGUAACCCUUAAGGAGUCUACAAGUAUAAAUAGACCCCAUAGCUAAGGCAAAUCGGCAUCUCACCUAAAGUAAGAGAACCCUGGCCGAUUUCCUUCCCUCUCCUCUCUCCUAAAUCAUCUUCCUUGCUAUUGGUGUUUGUAAGCCAUUAGAGGAGUGACAAUUGUGACUCUAGAAGCUCCAAGACAACAAGAUCAACAAGGAAUACAAAGGUAUGGUUCUACAUCUAUUUCAAUGUUGUUAUUUAACCUAAUUAGUCAUUAGAAGUCUUGGAUUCAAAGCAUGUUUAAUUAGAAAGCCUAGAUCCAAGCAUUAGGGUUUUGCAUGCGCACAUAGGAAAGUUCUUAUGGCUAAAACCCAUCAGUGGUAUCAGAGCCUAGCUUGGUUUUCAUUAAAUUGUUGCUUAAUUGUUUGAAACUAAACUGCAAAAUUCGAUUUUUGUGUUUCUGAGUCAUGGACUCGGCGAGUUGGCCUGACUCGGCGAGUCCCUUGGUGCACUCGGCGAGUCCAAGCGUCAGGAAUGGCCAGAUUCGGGAUUUUUUCAUAAUUAUCUUAUGGAAACUUACCUUAAUCAUAUUAGAUCAACCCUAAUCCGAUUUUUUGAUAUAUAUGACUAUUAUCUUGAUCUAAUUAAAGAUAUUUAUCAACUAAUAAAAUAUUUAAUUUCCUUAUAUGAUAAUUAAUUAAUUAUUUUAAUUAUUUUGGUAAUUAUCUUUCAAAGAAAUCUUGAAUAAAAUCAAAUAUAGAUAAUUAGGAUAUUAAUUGUUAAUUGGAAUUAUUUGUUAUUUGAUCCUCCAUGUUUUAAAUGUUUAAAACUUGCCCUCAAGUUUUGAAAUUUAUAUUUGUGAUUAAAAGUUUUAAUUUAGACAACUUAAAUUUCAAACCCUAGAUUUUAAAAGGUUUAAAAUACAACCCUAUACUAAUAUGAUAUUACUAGAAUAAUAUAUAUAUGUAUAACUAAAUGCUAGUCUUACCGUUAGUAGGCCUCAUUCACGAAGCCGAUCUAUAAGGUGGGUAUAAGGUUGCGGCCUAUAAAAUGGCGCUUAAUGGGUGUACACUCACACCCACCGCUUGCUUGAUUGGUGGAGGGUCGUUAGCCGAACGGGUAGGAUAGGGCAACCUCAUCCUCUCAUUAAAAGUAUAAUAAGAAAUACAAAGUAACUACACAUAUUUUAAAAUUUCCCAAUCUUAGUUACUUUAGGAAAAGUGAAUUGAUGCAAUCCCAUGAAAUUACACUUUGCACCCUUGCUAAGAAGUUAGUGGAGCGUGUGUGGUUUACCGGCACACUAAUUGGUUCUAAGCAAAGGUGGCAAAGGGUGAUUCAUUGUUAAUCAUAGUUCGAUGGAGCGUGUGUGGUUUACCGGCACAUCGAAUAGGUGAUCGUUACAAUGAAGGCACCAUGUGAAUUUGCAUGGUAAUUCACACCCGCUUUGUGAUCCUCGGUAUCCCAGUCACAAACAAGAGGGGCAUAUCGAGAUUUAAACAUGCCAUUGAAUAGUUUCAAUGAAUCUCAUCCGAACCUAGGAAUUCUCAAUACACUUAGGACUAAUAGUUAAGUUUUUGUGAUGGAGAAUUAGUGAAUUGUCAUUCACUUACCUUCAAUUUAUUUGCAUGUUAGAUUACGGUAUCCCUUUUCUAGUAUGUAAAUGUUAUUGUUGGAUCCUAGCCCUAAUUUUUCUUAAUUGGUGAUAAUUAGGGAUUCUUGUUCUAAUCUAUCUUUGUCCUUUUUCUUUUGUAGAUGUUGAACGCAAACAACGUUGUUGCAAGUUCUUUCACGUUGAUGAGCCUUUGCGAAAAGGUCACCUUCGAUAGAACGAGCUUUAGCGAAUGGAUAAGAUACAUUCGCACCAUUGCUCGCUAUGAGGAUAAAGAGUAUGUCCUCGAUGAGAAGCUCGAGAAAAUCAACCCUGAAAUCGCUAUUCUGGUUGAAAUCACCGCUUUUGAGACUCACCACUGAGAUGCAACGAAGGUAAAUUGCAUCAUGAUUGCCACCAUGAACUCCGAAAUCCAAAAGUCCUACGAGGACAUGUACUCGUACGAGAUGCACCAAGACUUAUUGGAGAGAUACCACCAGAACACAAGACGAGAGCGUUCUAAGAUUUUCACCAGCAUGAUUUCCGCUAGGAUGGGUCAUGGAGAAUCUCUUACCGUGCACCUGCAAAAGAUGCAAAGGUAUGUCGACCGCCUUCGCAAGUUAAAUGUUGACUUUGGGGAAGACUUGGCGAUCGACAUGGUGCUUCACUCUUUGCCUCCGAUGUACAAUCAAUUUAGGAUGACCUACCACAUGAACAAAGAAGAGGUCACCCUAAGCAAGCUCCAAGGUCUCUUGAGGGUUGCUGAGAGCAACUUCAAAGACAAGUCUGUUGCACCUACUCCCAAUCCGCCCGCUGCUCCUGUCUUGGCUAUUGGACAAGGGAAGGGAAAGAAGAGGAAAGCUUCAUCGAAGAACUAUCGCAAGGUGAAAGCCCGAGAUGGUGCCUCUUCUAGUGGGACCAAAGUUGAUCCCGCCAAGCCCUGCUCUAACCCGAAGGAGGCAGAGUGCCACCACUGCCACAAGAUAGGACAUUGGAAGAGAAGCUGCCCGGAUUACCUGCAAGCAAUCAAAGAAGGAAAGAUCAAGCCAUCUUUCGCAGGUAUAUAUACAAUCAAAUCUAACGAUUCUAAUCAUGCUAUUUCUUGGGUUCUUGAUACCGGUUGUGGUUAUCACAUUUGUUCUAAUGUGCAGGGACUAAGAAGAAGUAGGGAUGUGGAGCAAGGAAGGAUCAAUCUAAUCAUGGGGAACAGAAGAUCGUCGCCUGUGACCAAGAUUGGAGUGUAUUCCUUAGUGCUUAGGAAUAGUUUAGUUUUAGAUUUGAACAAUUGUUGCUAUUCGCCAGAAAUGGCUAGAAACAUCAUUUCAUUUCAUGGUUUAUAUAGACAAGGAUUUAGAUUUUCUUUUAAUAAUGAGAAUGGUUCUAUUUUGGCUUAUCUAAAUGGUGUCUUUUACUUUGAAGCUAUACCAUGUAAUGGAAUAUAUGAAACUGUUAUGAUUGUUGAUAACUUAGGAAAUGAUGUUUUGAAUAUAGAUUCUUCCACUAGUAUGGAUAAAGCAUCCUUGUGGCAUUGUCGUCUUGGACAUGUCAACAAGAAACGCAUAGCCCAACUCCAAAAGGAUGGAGUGUUGGAGUCAUUCGACCUUAGGGAAGAUGACACGUGCGAGUCUUGUUUACUUGGAAAGAUGACUAAAUCACCCUUCACAAGCACGUGUGAAAGGGGUGAGGGUCUAUUGGACUUAAUACAUACCGAUGUAUGUGGACUGUUUAGAUCAACCAAGAAGAAUGGGAACCGCUUCUACGUGACUUUUACCUAAGAAGGUAAAAUCGAUAUCUCGGCCGCUCGAUGAUUUGAUUUGACUUAUGUGUCGGGCCCGGUCAGAACUGAAUUGAUGUGUUCGAUUAAGUUCUAUGUCAAAUAAAUCAGAGAUCGAGAAACCUAAAUGCUUGACUAACCAUUCCAUAGGAUUGUC
rnacentral:lncRNA from 1 species